UACGAAGGGGGCUAGCGUUGCUCGGAAUUACUGGGCGUAAAGGGCGCGUAGGCGGCUUAGUUAGUCAGGCGUGAAAAUUCCUGGGCUCAACCUGGGGACUGCGCUUGAUACGGCUAGGCUAGAGGAUGGAAGAGGGUCGCGGAAUUCCCAGUGUAGAGGCGAAAUCGUAGAUGAUUGGGAAGGAACACCGGUGGCGAAGGCGGCGACCCUGGUCCAUUACUGA
rnacentral:rRNA from 1 species